CCUACGGGAGGCAGCAGUAGGGAAUCUUUCACAAUGGGCGAAAGCCUGAUGGAGCAACGCCGCGUGCAGGAUGAAGGCCUUCGGGUUGUAAACUGCUUUUAUAAGCGAGAAAUAUGAUGGUAACUUAUGAAUAAGGAUCGGCUAACUACGUGCCAGCAGCCGCGGUCAUACGUAGGAUCCGAGCAUUAUCCGGAGUGACUGGGUGUAAAGAGUGGCGUAGGUGGCAUAAUAAGUAGCUAGUGAAAUCUGGUGGCUCAACCAUUCAGACUAUUAGCUAAACUGUUAAGCUCGAGACCGUUAGGGGUAACUGGAAUGUCUAGUGUAGGAGUGAAAUCCGUAGAUAUUAGAAGGAACACCAAUAGCGUAGGCAGGUUGCUGGGACGGUUCUGACACUAAGGCACGAAAGCGUAGGGAGCAAACGGGAUUAGAUACCCCAGUAGUC
rnacentral:rRNA from 1 species